GACGAACGCUGGCGGCGUGCUUAACACAUGCAAGUCGAACGGAAAGGCCUGCUUUCCCUUGUGGAUUGCGGGUGCUCGAGUGGCGAACGGGUGAGUAACACGUGAGUGAUCUGCCCCCAACUUGGGUAUAAGCCUGGGAAACUGGGUCUAAUUCCCGAUAGGACUGCAGGGUGGUGCCUGUGGUGGAAAACGAUUUUCUAGUGGUUGGGGAUGAGCUCGCGGCCUAUCAGCUUGUUGGUGGGGUAAUGGCCUACCAAGGCGGCGACGGGUAGCCGGCCUGAGAGGGGGGACGGCCACAUUGGGACGGAGAUACGGCCCAGACUCCUACGGGAGGCAGCAGUGGGGAAUAUUGCACAAUGGGCGGAAGCCUGAUGCAGCGACGCCGCGUGGGGGAUGACGGCCUUCGGGUUGUAAACUCCUUUCGACCGCGAGGAAGCCACCUGGUUGGAAGGGUGGUGACGGUAGUGGUAGAAGAAGCACCGGCUAACUACGUG
rnacentral:rRNA from 1 species